rnacentral:rRNA from 1 species
CCAACAGGGUUUGCCUCAGUAACGGCGAGUGAAGCGGCAACAGCUCAAAUUUGAAAUCUGGCCUCACGGCCCGAGUUGUAAUUUGCAGAGGACGUCUCGGGCGCGGCGCCGGUCUAAGUUCCUUGGAACAGGACGUCACAGAGGGUGAGAAUCCCGUACGUGACCGGCCGUCAACCCCAUGUGAGGCCCCUUCGACGAGUCGAGUUGUUUGGGAAUGCAGCUCUAAAUGGGUGGUAAAUUUCAUCUAAAGCUAAAUACCGGCCAGAGACCGAUAGCGCACAAGUAGAGUGAUCGAAAGAUGAAAAGCACUUUGGAAAGAGAGUUAAACAGUACGUGAAAUUGUUGAAAGGGAAGCGCUUGCAACCAGACUUGCCCGCGGGUGAUCCGCCGUCCUUCGGGGCGGUGCACUCUCCCGCGAUCAGGCCAGCAUCGGUUCGGGCGGCCAGAUAAAGGCGUCGGGAACGUGGCUCCCCCCGGGGAGUGUUAUAGCCCGUCGCGCCAUGUGGUCAGCCGGGACCGAGGACCGCGCUUCGGCUAGGAUGCUGGCGUAAUGGUUGUCAGCGACCCGUCUUGAAACACGGACCAAGGAGUCUACGAAUUUUGCGAGUGUUUGGGCGUCAAACCCAUGCGCGCAAUGAAAGUGAACGGAGGUGGGAACCUUUACCGGGGCACCAUCGACCGAUCCUGAUGUCUUCGGAUGGAUUUGAGUACGAGCAAGAUUCGUGGGACCCGAAAGAUGGUGAACUAUGCGUGUGUAGGGUGAAGCCAGGGGAAACCCUGGUGGAGGCUCGCAGCGGUUCUGACGUGCAAAUCGAUCGUCAAACAUGCGUAUAGGGGCGAAAGACUAAUCGAACCAUCUAGCAGCUGGUUCCUGCCGAAGUUUCCCUCAGGAUAGCAGUAACGUUUUCAGUUUUAUGAGGUACGCUCCACAUCACCUUUUCAGGCGAGACAUAACUAACCCCCCCCUUAGGUAAAGCGAAUGAUUAGAGGCCUUGGGGAAGAAACUUCCUUAACCUAUUCUCAAACUUUAAAUAUGUAAGAAGUCCUUGUUGCUUAAUUGAACGUGGACAUUCGAAUGUACCGUUACUAGUGGGCCAUUUUUGGUAAGCAGAACUGGCGAUGCGGGAUGAACCGAACGUGAGGUUAAGGUGCCGGAAUUUACGCUCAUCAGACACCACAAAAGGUGUCGAUUCAUCCAGACAGCCGGACGGUGGCCAUGGAAGUCGGAAUCCGCUAAGGAGUGUGUAACAACUCACCGGCCGAAUGAAUCGGCCCUGAAAAUGGAUGGCGCUCAAGCGUAAUACCUAUACCUCGCCGCCGGGGUAGAAACGAUGCCCCGGCGAGUAGGCAGGCGUGGGGGUCCGUGACGAAGCCUUGGGAGUGAUCCCGGGUCGAACGGCCCCUAGUGC